rnacentral:rRNA from 1 species
CCUACGGGGGGCAGCAGUAGGGAAUCUUGCGCAAUGGGGGAAACCCUGACGCAGCAACGCCGCGUGAUCGAUGAAGCCCUUCGGGGUGUAAAGAUCUGUCAGUGGGGACGAAACCUGACGGUACCUGAAGAAGAAGCCCCGGCUAACUACGUGCCAGCAGCCGCGGUAAUACGUAGGGGGCAAGCGUUAUCCGGAUUUAUUGGGUGUAAAGGGGGCGCAGACGGCGAUGCAAGCCAGGAGGGAAAGCCCGGGGCCCAACCCCGGGACUGCUCGUGGAACUGCGUGGCUGGAGUGCAGGAGGGGCAGGCGGAAUUCCUGGUGGAGCGGUGAAAUGCGUAGAUAUCAGGAGGAACACCGGUGGCGAAGGCGGCCUGCUGGACUGCAACUGACGUUGAGGCCCGAAAGCGUGGGGAGCAAACAGGAUUAGAUACCCGUGUAGUC